AUGGAUGUACACCCACAAGUGCUUUGUUGGAAUGUUAGGGGUUUGAACAACCCGACAAAGAGGAAGGCUGUUAGGAAGUUUGUGAGCAGGGUGCAGGUGAACUUGGCUUGUUUCCAAGAAACUAAAAUGGAUGUAAUUGACCAAUACAUUGUUAUGCAAUCCUUAGUGCCAUCCUUUGAUGGCUUUGUAUAUUUGCCGGCGGAGGAGUCUCAUGGUGGGAUUUUGUUGGUUUGGGAUAGCACGGUCCUUAUGGUGGAUGACAUAACGCUCGAUGCUAACUUUCUUACAGGCUUGGUGCAUAACAAGAUGGAUGAGCCUUGGUGGAUCACGGUGGUAUAUGGUCCGCAGGGAGACAAAAUUAAAGUGCAGUUCUUGAAUGAUCUACGGGCUAGACGUGUGCUUUGUCCGGGACACUGGAUGGUCUGCUAUGGACAAGAGCAAUACAACCAUAAAUAG
rnacentral:rRNA from 1 species